rnacentral:rRNA from 1 species
GAUGAACGCUGGCGGCGUGCCUAAUACAUGCAAGUCGAGCGAACAGACGAGGAGCUUGCUCCUCUGACGUUAGCGGCGGACGGGUGAGUAACACGUGGAUAACCUACCUAUAAGACUGUGAUAACUUCGGGAAACCGGAGCUAAUACCGGAUAAUAUAUUGAACCGCAUGGUUCAAUAGUGAAAGACGGUUUUGCUGUCACUUAUAGAUGGAUCCGCGCCGCAUUAGCUAGUUGGUAAGGUAACGGCUUACCAAGGCGACGAUGCGUAGCCGACCUGAGAGGGUGAUCGGCCACACUGGAACUGAGACACGGUCCAGACUCCUACGGGAGGCAGCAGUAGGGAAUCUUCCGCAAUGGGCGAAAGCUUGACGGAGCAACGCCGCGUGAGUGAUGAAGGUCUUCGGAUCGUAAAACUCUGUUAUUAGGGAAGAACAAAUGUGUAAGUAACUAUGCACGUCUUGACGGUACCUAAUCAGAAAGCCACGGCUAACUACGUG